GACAGAGGGUGCAAACGUUGUUCGGAAUUACUGGGCGUAAAGCGCGUGUAGGCGGCCCUGCAAGUCGGGUGUGAAAUCCCACGGCUCAACCGUGGAAGUGCACUCGAAACUGCAGGGCUAGAGUCCUGGAGAGGAAGGUGGAAUGCUUGGUGUAGAGGUGAAAUUCGUAGAUAUCAAGCGGAACACCGGUGGCGAAGGCGGCCUUCUGGACAGUGACUGACGCUCAUGCACGAAAGCGUGGGGAGCAAACAGG
rnacentral:rRNA from 1 species